ACGAUGGGGGUGGGCUGGGGUUGGAUUUGGAGAUCUUAGUGCGCUUUUCCAACCUUAAUGACUGUGAUCCUAGUGAGCCAAUUCUACACCUCCCCAGAUCCCCACCAGCCAAAAGUGAACCGAGACUUUGGGUUUCACUUCCCAGCCAAAACAGAUGCAAUGCAAAACAGCCCGAAAUCCAUCAAAUCCAUCACACUUCAGGUUCUAACGCAAGUGGGAGAUGGUAGAUAGGAGAGUUUUGCUUGCCUACGGCUUUCAGCACAGGUCACAGGAGGUUUUCAUAUUAAAAACUCUAUUACAACACUUUGGCUGAAGGCAUCCCACAUGUGCAUCCACCCAGUUCAGUGGCCAGGGGAAAGGGCACGGCUGGGUGCAACCAGCAGCAGCGAUGUCCCAGCACAGAGAGGCACACAGCUGGACACAGCUGGCAGGAAUCCCCCCAGCACAGUGCAGCACAUCCCUCCUGGGCACAUCCCACACAGAGGGGAGGUGGCAGGUUGCAGGGAUGUGCCCACUCCGGUUCCAGCUCCGAUGACCCUGGCUGUGACCACGUUGCACAAGGUUUGUUUGCGUGUGCCAAGCACUCAGGUGUGCUGCAAUAACGAGUUAAGGCACAAACACGCCUGGGCUCUGACUCACACCCACUGGAGUGAAGAGCCAUGGGCAGCCGCUGGGGGAUGCUGCCCAUGUUGCAUGGAAUCUGUGGUCCCAUUCUCCUUAGCACCAUGCAAGUAUACCUCCAAACCCAUCUGCAAUGGUUAUGGGGAUGCCUGCAGAAAAACAUGUCAUGUGCAAGAAAAAAAAAAGAAAAAAAAAAAAGCAAAAUUGGAUAGUUUGCCUGCACAUAUAGCUUGCUUACAGUGAAAAACCCAUUCCAGUCUGUUCCUGUCCCAAAUGCCCCAGAUCUCACAAAUCACUCAUGGCCACCCCAACAUCCAGGUGGGCACCCCGCACUGGGGACAGCAUCCCUGCAGGGCUCCUGCAAUGAGCUCUGGGAAGGAUGUGCCAGCAGCGUGGAGAAAUCCCAGCACAGAAAUUACACCAAUAUCUCCCCUCUGCCUUCACCACCUUUCCAUCCCGGAGCCUGUGUGCUUUGCUACUAUCUCCAAUUAGGAAACUCACAGCACUGCCACCCAGGGAAGCUGCUGCUGGGAGCCUGCAGCCCGCACAGGGUUUGGGGAGGGACUGCUGCAGUCACCACUCUGUUUCCAAACCAUCGGCUGUCUGCUUCCAGUGGGAGUUUGCUGGAAUCCAAACUGGAGAAAAGCUCUUGGAAUCCACCCGUGGAACAAAAGGGCUUUUGUGCAGGAAGAGCUGGAGGAUGAGGCUGCUCUCAUUGCUGCUACCUUCAUUUUUCUACUGCCAAAGGGCACCUGCCAGUGGCAGAGGGAUGGCUGGCACGUGUGGGUGGGCAGAUGGACAUAAGGACACACAGACACAUGGACAUGUGGACAGACAGGUAAGGGGACACAUGGAUAUGUGGGCAUAAAGACACAGAAACACACAGACACUUGGACACGGGAACACACAGACACACUGACACACGGACACAAAGACACAAGGACAUGCACACACACAUGCUCCCAUGGUGGGAGCACACCAGCCUUAAACCACAGCCCAGCUACAAACACUUCCAUCCUUACUAACAUAUCCACUCCCUGGAAAACUCAACAGAGGAACAGAAUUCCCCCACUGCUCGGCUGAGACCCAAAGGAACAGCUUUCCUCUGUGGCUGGGACACCAAUCCUGGUGCCACACCAACCCAUGGCGUGGUGACAUUCCCUCUGCUCCCUGCUCAGCAGCCACGAGAGGUUCAUUUUGCUGAGAUGGACUGAACUCCCUCAGCAUAUUGCAAAUGUUGGACAUCUACCCAGUGCUAUGGAGCCAUUUCCUGCUGCUGGUUCACUGCAUGUAAACCUGAGUUUAUAAUCUUCUGUUCACAACAAAAGCCACCUUUGGAUAAAACAGGCAAUUCACGUUCCAAGCACAGUAGAGAGAGAAAUGCCCAUUGAUCCUGUAAUUCUGUUUGUUGGCAACACGAUCGAGAUUCUGACCAACAUGACUGUGUUCUCCCCGUUAAGAACCCUCUUCUAUUCAUUUCUCAUCUGUGAGCUUGCUUGCUUAAUUUUGUACCAAGACAAUUAAAGAUGCUACUUCGCUCUGAACGGCGCAGAUGGCAGCUCACUCAUGCUCCCUCUGCUGGCAGUGCCUCUCAGCAAACAGGUAGGACCCCCCACUCACAGUGAGUUCGGGAUACAGGAUAUAGGAUGUAGGACCUGUGAUGAAGGAUGCGGGAUGCAGGCUGGAGUAGAAACGAUGGAGGAUGCAAGAUGCAGGAUGCAAGAUGUGGGAUGCAAAGUGCAGGAUAUGGGAUGCGAGAUGUAGGAUAUGGGAUGGAGGAUGUGGGAUGCAGGAUACAGGAUGGAAGAUGCGGGAUGUAGAUGGGUGAUGUGGGAUGCAGGAUUCCAGAUGCAGAAUAUGGGACGUAGGACCAAGGAUACAGGAUGCAGAAUAUGGGAUGCAUUGCUCAAGCUGGUAAGGAAGACUUGUGGUUCAAGUGGAUUUAGGCAGAAGUCAGAGGGCAGGGACUUGCAGCUCUUCUGCCAGGCACCUGCGAAGAGUGUGGAUGUGCUUGCACCUCAUCUAAUAAAGCAAAGCAAGAUUUUUAUCAUGCCAUUUUAUUUCAGUUUAGAACACAUUACAAAAUGCAUGACGGCAUGGCACUCUGGCAGAAGACAGCACUCCCUGUCCUUUUUCCCAUCCAGCCAAGCAUCCCUGACACAAGUGAGCAGAUGUUUUUCUACCCACGUAGGCCCACAUGGAUCAAACCCCACCAGGCUGCACCUCUCCACCCAGCCUAAGCCAGGAGCUGUGACCACAGAACUGCCUUUAGGAGCCCUUCUGUCAAAGCCUCUGUAGAACUCCUUGUGCUGGGUUUGUGACUGCACGUUCAUUUAGAUGCACAAAUGCUCUCAAGUACAGCACUGCUUUCUGACAGGGACACGGAGAAAUAGGAAAAAAGGAACCAAGGGAGAGCAGCAGGGUGGUGUAAAUCAUCACACAGAUCCCACAUGUCCACCCCACUUAGCAACCAGGAGCAAAUACAUCCCCAGCCCUGUAAAUUCUUAUGUGUGUGCUCAGCUGCAAGCACAUCCAGUACCACUGACUCUGCUCACGCACUCCAAGUUUAACACAUGCAUAAGGAGUUUCAAGAUCAGAAUAUGAAUUAAAAAAAUCACGUUUAGCUUCGCUUGUGUAGGGAAAGCAAACAAAUCUCCAGACCCCUCCCAGCCCAGCUGCUCUGAAUCUGCUCCCAUUCAUUGCUGCUUGGCAUCAGCUGUGGCAAUGCCUUUGAAAAGCAGGAUCCUGGGGACAGAUCCUGCAAGAGGUGCUCCUGGGGGUGGUGCUGGUGUAGGACAGUCAUAAUGUGUGUGCUGCAAGAGGGUAUCUCCCCAAGGAUGGCCCUGUGCUGUGCAGAGCUAUUAGGGUUGUGCCAGAGGGAAAUCCAUUACUUUAGAGCUAUCAGAGCAACAAAAGGCUUUUUUUUUUUUUUUUGUCAUUUUCUGUAUCUGCCCUUGAACUACUGGAGAAGCAAUAGACGCAUUUAAGAGAAACAACUGCAUGGAAGGAAGCAGUAAUUUCCAUAAAGCAACUGAGUGUCAGAUGGGCCCUGCUGCAGGCACAGCAAUGGGCAGAGCCAGGACCAGACCCACCGUGGGGUGAAACAGCACAACAACACAGAUAUUGGGACUUCCACCACACACAGUGCUCUGAGGCCACUGCGUACUGAUAAGCACUGCUUGAUGAAGUGCAACUGCAUAUUUUUGUUUAGGAGAAGAUUCUCCUUCAAAAGCAGCUACGACAGCUCUGCCCGUUCAGCCUUCCUGAAGGCCUCUCAUUGCAGACAGAAGUGGUGACUCCUGUACUUAUUUUCUAUUGCUGCCUUAUCUUUGGCAUCUCAGCUGUGACUUUUACUGUUUUUUUCCACUGGUUUCAUCAGAGUGCAGUAAAAGUGGAUGUUUGUUGGGCUUCA